GGUUUCGUGGUGUAGUUGGUUAUCACGUCAGUCUAACAUGGAAACAUGGUCACUGAAGGUCCCCGGUUGGUUUUCCUAAAACCU